rnacentral:tRNA from 1 species
GUUUCUGUAGUGUAGUGGUGAUCACGUUCGCCUAACACGCGAAAGGUCCCUGGUUCGAAACCAGGCAGAAACA